ensembl:misc_RNA Metazoa_SRP Metazoan signal recognition particle RNA
GCCAGGCGCGGUGGCCCGUGCCUGUAGUCCCAGCUAUUCAGGAGGCUGAGGUGGGAGGAUCACUUGAGCCCAGGAGUUCUGGGCUGUAGUGCGCUAUGCUGAUCGGGUGUCCACACUAAGUUCAGCAUCAAUAUGGUGACCUCCCGGGAGCGGGGGACACCAGGUUGCCUAAGGAGGGGUGAACCGGCCCAUGUCGGAAACGGAGCAGGUCAAAACUCCCGUGCUGAUCAGUAGUGGGAUCGCAUCUGUGAAUAGCCACUGCACUGCAGCCUGGGCAACAUAGCGAGACACCCCUCUCU